rnacentral:rRNA from 1 species
CAACGCCGCGUGACGGAUGACGCCUCUUGGGGUGUAAAACGUCUUUUGCCGAGGGAGAGAAUGGACGGUACUCGGCGAAUAAGGACCGGCUAACUACGUGC